GGAUAGCUGAUGUGGCGUUUCUAAUCUAAUAUCAACCGUUGAUUAAAAUCAAUCUAGUGGACACAAAAUUUAGUCCCUUUUUCUUUUUCUCACUUCUUCGGUUCUUCCCCUCAUUCUCUUAGCCAUCUACUUCUUUUUUUUUUCUUCAAUCGAUUAUUCUAAUUCAACUCUGCAAAUAAAUUGACUACGAAUUAGUUUCGAGUUGGAGAGAGCUCUCUUUUAUCUCUUCAACCCACAAGAGCUUUCUUUCGAAUCUAAUCUAAUUGGAUGAGGAAGAAGGCGAGGAGAUUGAGUUGGCUCCUCGGAAAAGAAAAACUUCUCAGCACUUCUGGAUUGCUCCUCGAAGCCAAGGAUGGCUGGGAAAAUUCUAUUCAACAAGAGAUAAGUAAUGAUGGACUUGUUCAAGCUACUUGACCCUACGAUGAUAGGCAAUCUGCAUUUCUUCAGCCAAAGAUGAAGAGCUUUGUAAUUUAUUUUGUAAUAUAGGUCUCUUCUGUGUAAUUCUUUAAUUAAAGAAUUUCUGAAUGUAGGAAUUUAAUUUCAACACGUUUUGUAAUGAUAUUUUGUAUUAUUGUAUUAUAUAAAUAUAAUAAAACUAUGGCACUUUCAUUGUUAA